ACGCUAGCGACGUGCCUAAGGUAUGCAAGUCGAAUGCCGAUUUAUCGGCAUGGCAGACGGCUGAGUAACACAUGGGAAUCUACCUCAAACUCGAGAAUAGCCCAUCGAAAGGUGGUGUAAUACUCGAUAGUUCCGUUUACGGUAAAGCUCCGGCGGUUUGAGAUGAGCCCAUGUCCUAUCAGGUUGUUGGUGGGGUAAUUGCCUACCAAGCCUAUGACGGGUAGCUGGUUUGAGAGGAUGAUCAGCCAGACUGGGACUGCGAUACGGCCCAGACUCCUACGGGAGGCAGCAACUAGGAAUCAUGCGCAAUGGACGAAAGUCUGACGCUGCGACGUCGCGUGAGGGAUGAAGGUCUUCGGAUCGUAAACCUCUUUUAUCUGGGAACAAGUUCUGAGUGUACCAGAUGAAUAAGUGCCUGCCAACCACGUGCCAGAAGCAUCGGUAAUGCGUGGGGCACGAGCGUUAUCCGGAUUUACUGGGCGUAAAGAGAUGCGUAGGCGCCUUUUUAAGUCACUUGUAAAAUCUCCCCGCUCAACGGGGAAACUGCAAGUGAUACUGAAUUGGUUGAGUCAAGUAGAGGAGAGGGGAAUUCCUGGUGGAGCGGUUAAAUGCGUUGAUAUCAGGAGGAAUACCAAGUGCGAAGGCACCUCUCUGGACUUGUACUGACGCUAAGGCUCGAAAGUGUGGGGAGCAAAACGGAUUAGAUACCCGUGUAGUCCACACUGUAAACGAUCCCUGCUAGAUGUUUG
rnacentral:rRNA from 1 species